UUCUUUGGAAUUCCGGAAUCUGAAAACGAAACUUUGAACCCAAAUGUGGUGGAUUUACUUCAGGGUACUGUCCCUGACAAGGUGUGGUCCGUGUCAGUCAUUGUUCGUGCCCAUCGGUUAGGUCCACAUACAAGAUCACGUGUGUGGUAGUGUGUGUGUGUAGGGCCACAUACAAGAUAACUCCGACGGAUGUCUUCAACCAACUUGUGUGUCAGGGGAGAGCAUCCAAAUGUGUGGAAGCAGAGCCGUUAACAGUCGGCUUCUUGGCUUCUUCACAAUGUUCAGCUGCUCCCAAUUACCUCCCCCCACUAGCAUUCCUCUUUUAUGAUGGCUUCUUUCUUCCUUGCUCUGGAGGUUCGUCAGAGCUCAGUGGCUGCGUAAUGCGUCAUGCCGUCAUCCGUUGCUCUCACACCAUCCCACCCUACCUCGCCCACUGCACCACACAGCACCACACGGCACCACACAGCGGCAGAGGGGGGGAGGGGAAGCGCGAGCUGGCGCGCCUCACUCCGCGUGAACGAUGAAAGGUGGCACAAGGCGCCAUUACCGCCAGGAGCGAUUUCGUCACGCGAUGGAGCGAGUGGAGGCCGCGCGACCAGUUCGCAGACUUUACUGCCAGCACUGCAUCCACCCGCCAGAUCGGAGAGGACGUUGAAGGAUGACGUCGAUUGCCACUCUGUGUUGCCUCCCCUACCUCUGGGAUGGCGGCUGGCGAGGCUGCAGCAAAUUUACUUGCCUGAAUGAUAUCCACGGCCAGGUUCCUGACGUCAGUUGCCUUCGAAAGUCAGCAAAAAUUAUUUCCAUCUUUUCUCCUCCACAGCUUGCGAGGUGGCUGAUGGAGUGAACUUCUACUUGGCACCCUACGUCACCUUCACCACGUGACAGUGAGCACGUCACACUCGUUCCUCUCGCCCGAUAACCAAACUCCGGGAAGACCAAGUCCCCGCCACCUGUACGCCUAACACGACACCAGUAGCUGUGUAGGGGCCUGCAAGUACUCGUGACAUUCUACAGACCGCAGCCACACAACAAGGGAGGUACAAAACCCGCAGUCGUGAUGGCUGAAGGAACUGCUUUGGCAGCCGAGAGACGAGAAAGCUGACCAGCGGCUGUCCUCGCCGUGGUGAGAUGCGCCAUCCACUGACCUCAGCAGACAUUUCUACAUUUCACACCCACGGCCAGUCCACGAGUUUUCUUCCAUUUCUUCUUUCACGAGCAUUUUUCAUGAUGUUUCUCUUUUUUUCCCAGGUCAGCUUUUUAUGACAAACUUUACAGCACAAUACUUUCUCAAAACUGAAAUUUUUGUACGUGAAAGACCUCUCUGUCUGUCGUGCAACUGUCUCAACUCUUGAACCCAGUAUCUCACACGCAAAGCCGAAUUGACAGAGUAAAGGCAGUGCAGACCUUCUGCCUUUUAUUUAUAUAUUUAUUUGUUCGUGAGUUUGUUGUUUAUUUGAUAGUAUUGUAAGAUUACUAUGUACAAAACUAUUUACUUAAUAGUAAACACUCAUACUUUUAUUUCAUAUGCGUUCCCUUUCCAGCAGACCACCAGUAUUCCACAAACCCUGCUGAGGCAACAUUUCAGCAAUCAAGAAUGAAGACCAAACCCAGAAGCCAGAUUGCAGGUCUUUAUGCAUCAAGCUGACUUUCAACACGAGCCUGUGAAGAGAUGAUGGAGGAGGGGUGCAACCUAUUCUGAACUUGUCACCAGGCGACAUUAUUCUGAACUUGUCCACUAGAUGGCAUUAUUCUCAGCUUGUCCUUUAACUUGUCCACUAGGUGGCGUAUUGAGCUCUCUAACUUGUCCAGUAAGUGGUUAGGGAGAUCGACGGGGAGAAAGACAGUAAAAUAUAUUACAAAAA
rnacentral:lncRNA from 1 species